rnacentral:rRNA from 1 species
ACGAACGCUGGCGGCGUGCUUAACACAUGCAAGUCGAACGGAAAGGCCCUGCUUUUGUGGGGUGCUCGAGUGGCGAACGGGUGAGUAGCACGUGAGUAACCUGCCCUUGACUUUGGGAUAACUUCAGGAAACUGGGGCUAAUACCGGAUAGGAGCUCCUGCUGCAUGGUGGGGGUUGGAAAGUUUCGGCGGUUGGGGAUGGACUCGCGGCUUAUCAGCUUGUUGGUGGGGUAGUGGCUUACCAAGGCUUUGAGGGGUAGCCGGCCUGAGAGGGUGACCGGCCACAUUGGGACUGAGAUACGGCCCAGACUCCUACGGGAGGCAGCAGUGGGGAAUAUUGCACAAUGGGCGGAAGCCUGAUGCAGCAACGCCGCGUGCGGGAUGACGGCCUUCGGGUUGUAAACCGCUUUCGCCUGUGACGAAGCGUGAGUGACGGUAAUGGGUAAAGAAGCACCGGCUAACUACGUG